rnacentral:rRNA from 1 species
UACGAAGGAGGCUAGCGUUGCUCGGAAUCACUGGGCGUAAAGCGCACGUAGGCGGAAUGCUAAGUCAGGGGUGAAAUCCUGGAGCUCAACUCCAGAACUGCCCUUGAUACUGGCGGUCUCGAGUCCGGGAGAGGUGAGUGGAACUGCGAGUGUAGAGGUGAAAUUCGUAGAUAUUCGCAAGAACACCAGUGGCGAAGGCGGCUCACUGGCCCGGUACUGACGCUGAGGUGCGAAAGCGUGGGGAGCAAACAGG